rnacentral:rRNA from 1 species
CAGUAGCCGCGGUAAUACGAAGGGGGCUAGCGUUGCUCGGAAUUACUGGGCGUAAAGGGAGCGUAGGCGGACAUUUAAGUCAGGGGUGAAAUCCCAGAGCUCAACUCUGGAACUGCCUUUGAUACUGGGUGUCUUGAGUGUGAUAGAGGUAUGUGGAACUCCGAGUGUAGAGGUGAAAUUCGUAGAUAUUCGGAAGAACACCAGUGGCGAAGGCGACAUACUGGAUCAUUACUGACGCUGAGGCUCGAAAGCGUGGGGAGCAAACAGGAUUAGAUACCCGUGUAGUCCCUGUCUCUUAUAC